GCGGAAGGACGACCUUUCGUAUCCCACACAACCACGCGCGGGGACGGCCCUG
rfam:Nitrobacter winogradskyi Nb-255, complete genome.